rnacentral:lncRNA from 1 species
AAUAAUGAGAUAUAGGCAUACAGUAACAGACUAACAGUCAACAAAAGUAGAGGCCAAAGCAAAGCUGCAAAACUAACGGCGCGGACGGGCAGCAAAGCAAAAGCUGCAAAACUGUCAUAAAACAUGGAUCAGUCAGACCUCAAAAGCUAGCCAUUGAGGUUGGAGAACUCAAGCCUAUAUAAACCACACAAAAAAAGCUCAUACUUCCGAUGUGGGAUUUAGGUGUCCAUACACCACAAUGGGAACCAUGAGAAACCACCACGCCUCUGACUCAACGUCCAUACACCCUAAGUGGUAACUGAGACCAAAAGACAUGAUGCCUGCUUUGAAAUCAUUGUUAUAGAACUUGAAAGAGCUAGACCUCAUAAGCUAGCCAUUGAGGUUAGAGAAUCCAGGUCUAUAUAAACCAUACAAAGGAAACCCAUACUUUCGAUGUGGGAUUUAGCUGCACAUACACCCCAAUGGGAACCAUGACAAAAACUGAUACCGAUCUUUGGGCUUUGGUUUAGGGUUUGAACUUUGAAUAAUGAAGCGACAGCAUGGCAGACCAGCAGCAAUUGGAGCAGACUGGCAAUCAACGGCGGGAGCUGAAUUGGAAAUGCAGGAGGGAGGAGGCAGGAGGAUGAAUUCAGUGGCGGAAGGGAAGGGAACAGAAGGGUUUUGAUUUUCCAAGGGUAAUGAUUAAUGGGUUAUUUGCUUCAGUGGAAUAGCCGAAUGGGUUUUGGCAUUUUGCAAAGGGCAACAGGAGAAUAGAGAGGCUAAAUCUCAUAUCCACAUGGGUCCUUGUAUUAUAUUAUCCUCUUGGACAAAAUUCAUUUAAAUUUUGGGCCAUAUUGUAAAUUAAUCAAAUUUUUGGGUGCCUAAUGAAAUUAAUUUUGACUGACUCAUUUUCGGAUAAUAUUUUGGUCUGGAUCGUCUAUUAACCAGUUGGCUGUUAACCGACGAAACAAACACAGUACUAAACACUGUUGU